ensembl:snRNA U2 U2 spliceosomal RNA
AUCGCUUCUUGGCCUUUUGGCUAAGAUCAAGUGUAGUAGUAAAUUAUAUCUCAAAUGAAUUGCAUGCAAAAAGAUACAUAUAUUUUUAUUUAAGCAAUCACACAACUUAU